rnacentral:tRNA from 1 species
GGUCUUAUAUUCAAUAAUGAUAUAAAAUUGCAAAUUUUAAGGAAUAGAAAUAAUCUGUUAAGGCUU